AUCGCUUCUCGGCCUUUUGGCUAAGAUCAUGUGUAGUAUCUGUUCUUAUCAGUUUAAGAAUUAUUAAGAUAUAUUUUUAUUAUAAUAUUACAUGCUAA
rnacentral:snRNA from 1 species